AUUGAACGCUGGCGGCAGGCCUAACACAUGCGAGUCGCACGAGUGGAGGACGGGUUAGUAAUGUCUGGGAAACUGCCUGGUGGAGGGGGAUAACUAAUGGAAAAGGUAGCUAAUAACGCAUACCAUCAGAGGUGCCCAGCUGGGAUUAGCUUGUUGGUGGGGUAACGGAUCACAAAGGCGACGAUACCUAGCGGGUAUGUGAGGAUGACCAGCCACAUUGGAACUGUGACACGGUCCAGACUCUUACGGGAGGCAUCAGUGGGAGAUAUUGCACAGUGGGCGCAAGCCUGAUGCAGCCAUGCCGCGUGGAUGAAGAAGGCCUUCGGGUUGUAAAGUACUUUCAGCGGGGAGGCGUUACCCGCAGAAGAAGCACCGGCUAACUCCGUGCCAGCAGCCGCGGUAAUAC
rnacentral:rRNA from 1 species